AAAAUAGGAGUAAUAGGUUUCGUCUGAGAAACGUCUGACGUUGACUAGGUUCUGGGGGUUACCUGCAGGGGGCAACACAUCAGUAACAGAACAAAU